GGGAGGCAGCAGUGGGGAAUAUUGCACAAUGGGCGCAAGCCUGAUGCAGCCAUGCCGCGUGUAUGAAGAAGGCCUUCGGGUUGUAAAGUACUUUCAGCAGUGAGGAAGGUGGGUAUGUUAAUAGCAUAUUCAUUUGACGUUAGCUGCAGAAGAAGCACCGGCUAACUCCGUGCCAGCAGCCGCGGUAAUACGGAGGGUGCGAGCGUUAAUCGGAAUUACUGGGCGUAAAGCGCAUGCAGGUGGUUUGUUAAGUCAGAUGUGAAAGCCCGGGGCUCAACCUCGGAAUUGCAUUUGAAACUGGCAAACUAGAGUACUGUAGAGGGGGUAGAAUUUCAGGUGUAGCGGUGAAAUGCGUAGAGAUCUGAAGGAAUACCGGUGGCGAAGGCGGCCCCCCUGGACAGAUACUGACACUCAGAUGCGAAAGCGUGGGGAGCAAACAGGAUUAGAUACCCUGGUAG
rnacentral:rRNA from 1 species